GUACUGCUGAGGAAUCCCAUAAUAGGACGAAACAACCGUCCAGUGC
rfam:Schistosoma mansoni, Puerto Rico, WGS project CABG01000000 data, contig: 0041